rnacentral:rRNA from 1 species
AUUGAACGCUGGCGGCAGGCCUAACACAUGCAAGUCGAGCGAGCGGCGGACGGGUGAGUAAUGUCUGGGAAACUGCCUGAUGGAGGGGGAUAACUACUGGAAACGGUAGCUAAUACCGCAUACCAUCAGAUGUGCCCAGAUGGGAGUAGCUAGUUGGUGGGGUAAUGGCUCACCUAGGCGACGAUCCCUAGCUGGUCUGAGAGGAUGACCAGCAACACUGGAACGGGGAAACGUUCCAGACUCCUCCGGGAGGCAGCAGUGGGGAAUAUUGCAAAAUGGGCGAAAGCCGGAUACAGACAUGCCGCGUGUAUGAAGAGGGCCUUCGGGUUUUAAAGUACUUUCAGCGGGGAGGCGUUACCCGCAGAAGAAGCACCGGCUAACUCCGUGCCAGCCGCCGCGGUAAUAC